ensembl:snRNA U6 U6 spliceosomal RNA
GUGCUCUCUUAGGCAGCACAUAUACUAGAAUUGGAAGGAUACAGAGAAGAUCAGCAUGGCCCCUGUACAAGGAUAACAAGCAAAUUCGUGAAGCAUUCCAUAUUUUU